rnacentral:lncRNA from 13 species
UUGGAACAGGAAUUUUCUCUUAUGAAGAAAAAUUAUAUAUAUGUUUAUAUGUCUUUCGUUAUAAAAAUAAAUCGCAAGGCUGAUGGAAAACCCCUGAAGCGCGGCGCAGACGAGGAGGAGAGCUAGCGGAGCCGGCUCGUUACUCCCCUCCAACAAGUUUUCUGUCUGACUCCUCACCGGGCCUCCCAAGUCCAAUUCCGAUCCGACUGCUUUGUUUCACGCUCUCUGCGCGGCUUUAUACUCCCGGCCUUCCAAUCCUCUGCUUUCUCAAUGAGAGGAGGAAACUGAUCUGCCUCCUCCCCUUUUGUGGAGCCUGGGAGUGAGCGCUCUGCGUUGUUUGCAGAAAAUGUAAGCAGUGCGCCCUCUAGGGUGCCCGUUCAGGAUCUAUUUCAGACCAAGGCUCUGGGACAACUUCAAGACCUCAAAGAUGUUUUGCUGACAAGUCCAACAGGGCAAGGACACCAGUCUGGGGGAAGAGGGCAUCAUGGAAAAUAUACCCGAAUGCUCAAAAUCACACUCAAGAGUAUCUAAGAGUUUUGAUCCAGGCUGGGGUAUAGUAGCACCAUCUUGGCUCACUGCAACUUCUGCCUCCUGGGUUCAAGCAAUUCUCCUGCCUCAACCUCCUGAGUAGCUGGGAUUACAGGCACGUACCACCACACCCAGCUAAUUUUUGUAUUUUUAUAAAGACUAGGUUUCACCAUGUUGGCCAGGCUGGCCUUGAACUCCUUACCUACUGAGGUCCAUGCCUCUCGGCUUCUCAAAAUGCUGGGAUUACCAGCAUGAGCCACCAUACCUAGCCCAAUAUUGUAUUAAGAUAAGCAGGAUUUGGUCAUGAUGUAUCAUCCUUUUAAUAUACUGCAGGAAUUUCAUUACUAAUAAAUACUUUGUUAAGGAUUUUUUCUUUGUAUUU